GCUCACUUUGGCAGCACAUAUACUUAAACUGAAAUGUUACAGAAAAGAUUAGCAUGGUCCCUGAGCAAAGAUGACGUGAAACUUCAUAAAGCGUUCCUUUUUUUU